rnacentral:rRNA from 1 species
UACGGAGGGUGCAAGCGUUAUCCGGAUUCACUGGGGUUAAAGGGUGUGUAGGCGGACUUUUAAGUCCGUGGUGAAAUCUCCGGGCUCAACCCGGAAACUGCCAUGGAUACUAUUGGUCUUGAAUGUUGUUGAGGUGGGCGGAACGGGUCAUGUAGCGGUGAAAUGCAUAGAUAUGACCCGGAACACCGAUUGCGAAGGCAGCCCACUAAGCAAUGAUUGACGCUGAGGCACGAAAGCGUGGGGAUCAAACAGG